rnacentral:rRNA from 1 species
GUGGCCUACGGGGGGCAGCAGUGGGGAAUAUUGCACAAUGGGGGAAACCCUGAUGCAGCGACGCCGCGUGAGCGAUGAAGUAUCUCGGUAUGUAAAGCUCUAUCAGCAGGGAAGAAAGUGACAGUACCUGACUAAGAAGCCCCGGCUAACUACGUGCCAGCAGCCGCGGUAAUACGUAGGGGGCAAGCGUUAUCCGGAUUUACUGGGUGUAAAGGGAGCGUAGACGGCUGCGCAAGUCUGAAGUGAAAGCCCGGGGCUCAACCCCGGGACUGCUUUGGAAACUGUGUAGCUAGAGUGCUGGAGAG